UACGAAGGGGGCUAGCGUUGCUCGGAAUUACUGGGCGUAAAGGGCGCGUAGGCGGCUUAGUUAGUCAGGCGUGAAAAUUCCUGGGCUCAACCUGGGGACUGCGCUUGAUACGGCUAGGCUAGAGGAUGGAAGAGGGUCGCGGGAAUUCCCCAGUGUAGAGGUGAAAAUUCGUAGAUAUUGGGGAAGAAACACCGGUGGCGAAGGCGGCG
rnacentral:rRNA from 1 species